CAGGAAUAAGCUCAGAAGAGGUAGAUUUUUAAAAAUUUAUUUCUUUUAAAUCUAGUGAAGCUUAUUUUCAUUCGUUUCGUUGUCAUUUGCACUGUAAGUUAUCAGAAUUUCUGUAACCCGAAAAUGAGUCCUAAGUGUAUAGAGUCUCAUGUAAAAAAACAGCUCUUCAGUGUUUGGUGGCAGCUGCUGCUCCUGGGUGGAGAUCCGCGCUGGCCUGGUUGGAUUUGACCAGAGGUUGCCAGUGAUGUGGCAAAGGAGGACACAAUAAAUCACAGCAUUUGAAGAGCAUCCCGAGUUCAAAGCUGUCUUCAUGCUUAUUCUCCCGAGCAUCCUUUCAAGCUAAGAAGAGCCCAGCUAGACAGCUUCCUGACUGGCCUCACAGGGCAUAUUGGAAAGGCAAGUAAUCCUAGUGGUGGAAGAAUGGUUCUUGGCAUAUGAGCAUUGGUGUCCACUUUUGUUUUGAUCAUUAGCAGAUGCAGGCUGUUGGCAAGCUAUUCACCAGUAGAACCCCCAUCCCACCCCCACCCCCCAUUUUCUGUAAAAUCAGGAAAACAUUGAUUUUUAUAGAGGUGUUCAAAAGUUUAUAUUGAAGUAAGGAGUAGAUCAAGUCAUUGUGUUCAAGGACUAGAAAGGCCAAUGGCUGGAACAUGUUGGUGAGUGACAAUCAGGCACGAAAGGUCAACUGGAGCUGGGCCAUGCAGGGCUCUGACAGCCUGGGCAAAGAGUUUGGACCAGAGGCAAGAAGAACAUUGCUGAACUCCAGGCUGUGAGUGUGAAAACUGAUCUGGGGUUUAUAAAGAACUAGUGUGUUUAAGAUUUGAUAGUCUUUUUCUGCUCUCGGUUGUUUGUUUUUGAUGUUGG
rnacentral:lncRNA from 1 species